UGAUUGGUAAAUCAAAUGGUUUCUACAAAAACUAAAAACUAAAACUUGAUUGGAUGAAAAAUGGUUUUUGCAAAAACAAAAACCAAAAACUAAAUCAAAAACCACAAACAAUCAACCUCUGAAAGAGACAAGUACCUAUCUUCUACAACGGCGACUGAUGAAGAUUGUUAGUUGCUACCUAACAGGUUUUAUAACCUUUAUGAUUGCUUUAUCUCCCAAAUAAUAAGAUCAAGCUUUCGGUUGGAAACACAAACAACAGACCAAAUCUACCGGUCAAUUCAGCUUUACAUAGUUAUUACAAAUCUUCAACAUAUCCAUCGAUAUAACAUCUAUUCAGAGGGAGAGAGAGGGGCAUUAAAAAUGUUCUUAAUCAAAAACAAAAACAAGGAAAGACAUUGAACAUCAAUGUUCAGAAAAGUGUAGCAUGUGUGUUUGAGUUUUUGCAACUGUUUCCAGUUCAUAUCGCAUAAAUGUGGAGCUUAAUGUGAAACACCCAUGGUGUUAUUUUCGUUUAACGGGAGAACGCACAUGCCAAUCACUAGCGAUUAUGAUGAA